UACGUAGGCAGCAAGCGUUGUUCGGAAUUACUGGGCGUAAAGAGUGUGUAGGCGGUGUUCUAAGUUUGUCGUGAAAUCUCCCGGCUUAACUGGGAGGGUGCGGCGAAAACUGGAAUGCUAGAGGAUGGGAGAGGUAAGCGGAAUUCCUGGUGUAGCGGUGAAAUGCGUAGAUAUCGGGAGGAACACCUGUGGCGAAAGCGGCUCACUGGACCACAACUGACGCUGAUGCGCGAAAGCUAGGGGAGCAAACAGG
rnacentral:rRNA from 1 species